GUCACAUUGUUAAUCAACGCCUCAUAUCUCGGUUCUCUCCAUCUCCAGAUUUUGAGUUGUACCUUUCAACGCCUUUCUCCGGUAUAUCCAACUUCCUCCCAACCUGAUUUUCACUCUCCUUUUCUUCUCUCUACAAACCCUAAGCUGCCUCCACCACUACUAAUAUCGAUCGUCUCAUCCGCCACCACCAUCACGUCUUACCGCAGUUACCGACCUCACGACCACCUACUCCACGAUUUCCGUAGUCAUACUACCGUAGAAAUCUUCUUUCCCUGCUAAGUGGUCGUCUUCUCCUUCUCACAAACCACCGACCUCCAGAUGCGUCGUACCAUCUCUAGCCACCUGAAUCAGCAUGCUCCCGACGAUUCCCUUUCUCUUCCUUAAUAGAAACCCUAAUCGUUCGAAACCUACGUCUAGAGGUUAAUGGCCGAUGAGUUUCUGUAUCAGAGCCACCUCAAUCUGGAGGUUGAAGACCCAAAACCAAAUCAAUCUAUUAACACCACUAUCCGCCACAUCUAUUGUUAUCAUUAGACAGCACCAUCGGCAACGCCAACCAUCAUAAUUGUGACCAUCAUUAAAGAUCGUUGCACCAACAACAUUAUACCACCUAUAGUCUCCUUGUCGAAACCAUCACCACCAACACAACUCUUCCCAUCUCUAUAUCGCUAAAAAAUCAGGAUGAGAACCACCAUUACUCACAGCAACCUUCAACUAUCACCACAAUCCACUGGUGUCGCCUUUUCUGAUUCCACCACGCCUCCCUCUGUCUUCUUCUGUAUAUAAACGUAAGUAACUUAUCCACUGCACACCAUUUAUUUGAUGCUCUCUUUCUAUACUCUAGAAAUUAGAAAGAUACAUGUGAAAGACACAAACAGCCAUCGCCACCGCUGCAGAAUACAUCAUCUCACGAUUAUAUAUCUUCCCAGUCGAUCUACACAAGGGAUUUUGAAGUUUUUAGAUUCAAAUCGAACAGGGAAUUGUCGUUUUUAGCAUUCAAAUCGAACAAGUUCAUAUUUCAAGUUUCCCUAAUCCACAGACUCUGAAUGUGAAAAAAGAUAACAAAAGGCUUCCUUUUGUUUCAUGUAGAAUCGCAGACGGAGGAAAGAAAAGAAACUAGGUGACCAAACAAAAAUCCUAACCGUUAGGUUUUGCUUUUGAUUUCUCUAUUUCUUUUUGCUUUUUUUGUGACAAAGUUGGGUGAAGACAUAUUAGGAGGAGGUGGAUCUGUGAGAUGAAUUGAAGGGUUGUUUUAUUCUUAAUCUUUUCAUCUGUAUGAAUUUUCAAAUCAGAACCCAUGGAAUUUUUGUUGUUCGUUUUGUGAUUAGGUAGUGACAAAACUGUAUAAGGAACUGGUGUUCUCUUUGGGGAAAAUGCACAACCAUGGUAUAUAUUGAACUACACAUAAUGAGUUACAAUAUAUGAAUUUCAACCCUUUUUUCAGUUUGA